ACAGAUUUCGAACUUUCCUUGUUGAAUGCAGCACUCAGUCUUCUAUCUUCUUUGUUACUUUUUUUGGAGGGGAAAGGUGGGGGUUCAUCAUGCAGAUCACCUCACUACUGCUCAUCAGGAUUAUUACCGAUGGUUAAAAGUCUCAGGUCACAUUCCCCGGGAGGCAAAUCUG